UAGUAGAGGAGCAGAACACACUUCCGCACGCCCUCGGACGCCCAAGUUCUCACCGCCUUGCACGUGUCCAACACCCAGCAGGCCGCCUCCCACGCCACGUCGCCGCCUUCGAUCCCCCCAAAUUUGGGCUUUCCUCGAGGUAGCGCGGCUCACCGGCGAGGCGGCUUGAAGUUCUCUGAUGGCAGCGGCCGCCGUGGGAGAGGAUGAAGAGGCCUGCCAUAGAUGUCGACGCCGAGAUCUUGCUAACGUUUCCUUUUUCUCUCUUCCUGCUGUUUGAGGCAUCCCAAAUCCUUGCUGCUGUUUUAUGUCCUCUAGAAUCACAUAGGGCUCUCCUAUGGAGGAUCCCAUGCCAACCUCUUCCUUCCUCUCCCCCUCCAAUCCAUCGGAUUUGCCCUCCUAUCAAAGAGGCGGCGGACUGGCAGUUUCAGUUCCUGAUUGUGCAACCAGGUGGCCCACCACACCUCAUGCCUCGGCCUCUCCGAAUUCAGCCUCUGCAGCGUCUGCGGUGCUGGAGCAGAUGGGAUCAAUGGCACCGGUGGGGAGCAGCAGGAGAGGUGGUGCGUCUGAGGGAAGUCCGGCAGAAUUGGACCUCCCUGUCGAGUCCGGGGCGGAGAUGUGUCGCCUUUCUCCAGUGCCAGAUAUAUUUGGAAACAUUGCACACCAGGGUAUAAUUUUGUUGGAUCAAUCCGUGCUCCAAUUAACAAGUUUGAGGAAGGAAAUAAGUCUAGAAUAACAACUGGUGUUGUUGCUACUAAUAAGAAAAUCGAUCAAAUCAGUGAGAGGUGCUGAUCAAGAUCGCUUCCAACCAGCUACAAAAUGAGCUUUCCAAGUGACAGGUAGCAGCUGCACUUCCACCAGCAUUACCCCAUGAAGGCGCCAAGGUUUAACCUUGGAGGUGUGAGAUUCGUCUCCGCGAGCGGCCGAUUGUCCAAAACUCCAAAUAAUGCUGGCUUUAUUGACCCCUCUUUGGCUGCACCUCUUGGGUUUACCGGUCGUUCUUUGGAGGAUGAUGUUGAGAUAGAAUAUGAAUCUUCACAGGAUUUUGGUGUUGAAGAUAGCUGGCAGACGGGAAUAAUAAUGAGCCUGGUGAGGAAAGUGAUAUUGAAGCCCUAAUAUCCAUUGAAAUUAAAUUGAGAACGACAAGGGAUUUGCUUAUCAUUCAUCACCUUAAAUAUUUCAGUCAUAUGAUGUCAGGUUGUCAACUGUCAUGGAUGAUUUGGGAUCUGAGAAAGAUGGUUCAUGCCCGAGUUCAUGUUGCGUUGCCGCGUUCUCCUUGCAAGAUCAAGUCCCUUCACAUUGUUUUCUCUAGACACUCAAAUUUGCUUAAGAUAAUUGGCCUACCCUGCAACUUAAACCUGGUCCCAAUAAUUGAGUAUGUCCGACAACACUUCAUAUCUUUGGCAAUGCAAUCACUGUAUAUAAGUGCACUUAAGGGUGUGUUGACAUCGAAGCCAUACUAGCUAUGGUGUGCAUCAAGAUGCUAUCAUCGCAUCUUACGGAUUUGACUAAACUAUCCCCAAAUAGCAAGUGACCAAAAUGAUGCUAAGAUCACUAACUUCAUAUAUCAGCAGAGGACAGUUACAAACUUUUCAAACUACCGACAAGAGCUGAAGCACUUUCAGAGACGAUGUAUUUAGUCUAGAUCAUACUACAUCUAUGUUAUUUGUUCUCUUAUUGGCAGUUCCCUUCAUGCUAUGACAUGUUUACUCGAACUAAAUGACAAUGGACAUACCUACCUUGAGAACGAUUUUUGGAGGAAAUAGAACACUGGAUCUUGGCAUAUUCAGAAGUAGCACUAUCAGCAGGCAGCAGCACAAAAACCCCGACAUACCCAUAAAAAUCUGCUGUACUGUCCGCCUGAAGAAAUGAUAAAUGCACCAGAAGAUAGCAAAGGUUCAGGAACCACACCAGCCAGACGACAACUGCCUCGAAUGAAGAAGGAAGUAAAGAUUACAGAGUUAUUACUCGGAUUAAAUAGGAACAAAUUUUGGCCAGCAUACAAUUUCUACAUAGACACGUCUACUAAACAACAAUUUUCUCUUCUAAAGGAUGUCAGCUGCACGACUGAAAAAAAAAGAUGAAGGCCAAGGCAUCAGCUACUACACCAACCAAGAAAUACAUCAACAAAGAACUCUUCGUACAGAAAUAAAGAAGUUACCACUUCGAGCAACAGCGGAGAUCUUUCUACAAAAACAGAUCAGUUCAUCUUGAGAACCUAAAGCAAAAAUGUAGUUACCUACCGUCCUAGCCAGCAAGUGCUUUCGACGCACCGUUUGCUAGACUUGACCACUAUGGCUGUUAUGUAUAAUAUUAUGAACCUAAUUACUGUCUCUCAGCUAGAAAGAGCCUAAGGCGUGUCCCAAAACUGGCAUUUGCUGCUUAUUAAAGCUACAAUAUCUUCUGCUUC